AGUGAACGCUGGCGGUAGGCCUAACACAUGCAAGUCGAACGGCAGCACAGUAAGAGCUUGCUCUUACGGGUGGCGAGUGGCGGACGGGUGAGGAAUACAUCGGAAUCUACUUUUUCGUGGGGGAUAACGUAGGGAAACUUACGCUAAUACCGCAUACGACCUACGGGUGAAAGCAGGAGAUCUUCGGACCUUGCGCGAUUGAAUGAGCCGAUGUCGGAUUAGCUAGUUGGAGGGGUAAAGGCCCACCAAGGCGACGAUCCGUAGCUGGUCUGAGAGGAUGAUCAGCCACACUGGAACUGAGACACGGUCCAGACUCCUACGGGAGGCAGCAGUGGGGAAUAUUGGACAAUGGGCGCAAGCCUGAUCCAGCCAUACCGCGUGGGUGAAGAAGGCCUUCGGGUUGUAAAGCCCUUUUGUUGGGAAAGAAAAGCAGCAGGUUAAUACCCCGCUGUUCUGACGGUACCCAAAGAAUAAGCACCGGCUAACUUCGUG
rnacentral:rRNA from 1 species